UUUAUUACGUCCCUUACUAUCCCAGGAUCACACAAAUAGUGCUAUCCUUGUUUAUGUGACCGCCGCCGCGCGCCGCCGCCGGUGAAGUUGGGAUUAGUUUUUUGCAUGUUUUGUUUGUUCAUUUGUUUACAGUUUAGUGCAAACCAUGGCCACGAUCGGUGUUAUUGUUGUUUGUUAAAAUAUUGUGAGUGCUCUAAAAGCAAAUGAAUAUUCAAGAUCUUAUAUUCUAAAAGAUAUUAGUGGAUGCAGAUAAGAGUGUUUAGUGAGUGCUAUGUUUGAAUAUUGCAAGUGAAAACACAGCCCAUCAAUGUAAUGCGCUAAAAAACUGCAAUGGCUCCGAACACAUGAUUACCAGAUAACAAAUCCUGGCGCAGCUUACGUGUGUGCUUCUAUAACGUCGCAAGCUACAGUGGCUGUUCAUAAUUUCUGCAAGCUCUACACCUACAGGAUUCAGUUAUCUGGGCAUUAUAGAUACCCUAUACCUAAGAAGUUAUUUAGGUAUAUUUAUUAAAACCAUUAAAUAGAGGUGAGUGAUUGAGUUAAUUAGUAUAUAUAUGUUUUAUGAUUUUUACAUCUUAUUUAAAAAUAGAAAAGUGUAUCUGCCAUUCUUGGAAAAGUUAAAAUAAAUAACAUAUAAUUUAGGUAAUAGGUAUAGAAUAGGUUAUUUUUGAUUAUUUUUUUUCUAUCAAAUAAAGAUGUUUAAUUAUACCUAAGUAUCUUUAUGAACAAAAAAUAUUACUUUGGGAAACGUGAGUUUCAACUAUGAUGUUUAAACUAUUGCUGCUGUAUCUGAUCUCGUUAAUUUUAUUCUUAAAUUGUAAUUAUUUGUCUCACAAUAUGAAACGGGGACCAAAAGCAAAAGUAUCAUUAGAAGCCCAAAAGGAUGUGUUUGUGAAGUUUAGAGACACUUUUCGAGAAGGUUUACCUCAUUUCCGCCAUGAAGUGUAAAGUCAAAUACAAUCUGAGUUUAAUUAUGUAAUGUCAAUCAGAGCUAUACAACUCAGCUUAAAAAAGAAUUAUACGUUCUUUUUCGGGCAUGAUGUGAACUUUUUCAAUAGCCUUCCAGCAUUCGAA